UAGAGAGUAGUAUAAUGGAGUACGAAAGGUUUUGGGCCUUUUUGUACAGGUUCGUGUCCUGUUUUUCUAU
rnacentral:tRNA from 1 species